UACGAAGGGGGCUAGCGUUGUUCGGAUUUACUGGGCGUAAAGCGCACGUAGGCGGAUCUUUAAGUCAGGGGUGAAAGCCCUGGGCUCAACCCGGGAAUUGCGCUUGAGACUGGUGUGCUCGAGUACGGGAGAGGAUAGUGGAAUUCCCAGUGUAGAGGUGAAAUUCGUAGAUAUUGGGAAGAACACCAGUGGCGAAGGCGGCUAUCUGGACCGUAACUGACGCUGAGGCGCGAAAGCGUGGGAGCAA
rnacentral:rRNA from 1 species